GCGUAUAUUAAAGUUGUUGCAGUUAAAAAGCUCGUAGUCGGAUGUCGGGUUCGGGGUGGCUGUCGGCCUAGGUCGGAUGGCCGUUCCGGAUCUUUCUGCCUGGGGAUCCUAUUCUUCUUAACCGAGGGGUAGUGGGACGCAGGCCGUUUACUUUGAAAAAAUUAGAGUGUUCAAAGCAGGCUUUGUCUUGAAUACAUUAGCAUGGAAUAAUGGAAUAGGACUUUGGUCUUAUUUGUUGGUUUAUGGGACCGAAGUAAUGAUUAACAGGGACAGUUGGGGCCGUUUAUAUUUCGUUGUCAGAGGUGAAAUUCUUGGAUUUACGAAAGAUAAACUUCUGCGAAAGCAUUCGGCAAGGAUGUUUUCAUUGAUCAAGAACGAAAGUUAGGGGAUCGAAGACGAUCAGAUACCGUCGUAGUCUUAACCAUAAACUAUGCCGACUAGGGAUCAGUGGAUGUCAAUUUGCGACUCCAUUGGCACCUUGUGAGAAAUCAAAGUUUUUGGGUUCCGGGGGGAGUAUGGUCGCAAGGCUGAAACUUAAAGGAAUUG
rnacentral:rRNA from 1 species